rnacentral:rRNA from 1 species
UUUCAAAACAUGUCUUUAUGUUCAUUAAUAUAAAGUCUGGCCUGCCCACUGAUAGAAAAUUAAAGGGCCGCGGUAAUUUGACCGUGCGAAGGUAGCAUAAUCAUUAGCCUUUUAAUUGGAGGAUAGAAUGAAGGGUUGAAUGAGGGAUAAGCUGUCUUUUUAAUGAAGUUUGAAUUUUACCUUUAAGUGAAAAGGCUUUAAUUUUAUAAAGUGAAGAUAAGACCCUAUAAAACUUUAUAUAAUUAUUAAUGUAUUUGUUUUAUUUUGUUAAAGAUAAUGCGAUUAAAUUCUAUUUUGUUGGGGCGACAAGAAUAAAUUUAAGUAUCUGUUUUUUUAAUGAAUUAAAGAUAAUUAAUUUAUGAUCCUUUGAUAAAGAUUAAAAGAUUAAGUUACUUUAGGGAUAACAGCGUAAUUUUCUUUGAGAGUUCUUAUCGACAAGAGUAGUUGCGACCUCGAUGUUGAAUUAAAAUUAUUCUAACAAGUGCAGUAGCUUGUAUAGUAAGUCUGUUCGACUUUUAAAAUUUUACAUGAUUUGAGUUCAAACCGGUGUAAGCCAGGGG